rnacentral:tRNA from 1 species
GCGGGCAUCGUAUAAUGGUUAUUAUCUCAGUUUUCCAAACUGAUGACACGGGUUCGAUUCCCGUUGCCCGCUCCA